CUUUGCCUUGAUGACCGCUUUGCACACUCUCUUAGCUAGCUAGUUUAUGUCUUAAGGUUACUCUGCAGCACAGAGAGUGGUAGCUAACUAUAGUUAAAGUUAUCGUAGCUUUAUAGAACGAUUUUCAAACCACUUGAUGAACUUAGGACUGCAAGAGCAUCUAGCUAGCUGACAUUUUGGGCUGGUAUAGCGUUAGCUUACUAGCUACGAUUAGUCACUGUAGCUAUGUCAAUUUUCAGACAAUGAAGAGAACGUCCACGGAUAUCUCUUCUUUCUUUAAGAAGAAAAGUAGUACAGUGGAGACGGAGCCGACAGGGGACGAGCAGCAGAGGAUAGGACGUUAGUGAGGAUGCAGUCGAAGAUGAUGUCAUUGAGCAAGCCAAUGAACAGGCAGAGGCCGUGAGAGAGCAUGACAGAACAUGACAGCAACGAACAGGCACAGGCAGCAUCAGUGACAGAGUACAGUGAAGAACAGACAGCAGCAUGGCACGAAAGUGCGGAACAGGCAGCAACAGUCACAGAGGUUGACAACCAAGCGAGGCAGGACUCAGCUAGAGCUAUUCAACCUGUUCCUGGACUAGCAGAUAUAUCCCAGUCAAGAGCAGAGGGGUCCCCCCUUCAGGGGGAUAGAAGACGGGGCUUCAUGAAAGAGUGGUACAGUACGCAUAAAUGGCUGGAAUACUCUCAGAGUAAAGACUCUGCCUACUGAUAUGUCUGCCGGCACUUCAUUCUCCCCUCCUCAGGUGAUUCAGUGUUUACACUUGAAGAGGGGUUAAAAAAUUUGAAAAAAGCAACUUACAAAGAUGGGGGAUUUAUUAGCCAUGCCAAAUCAGAAUCACAUACUAAUGCUAUCUUAGCAUGGGCAGAAUAUGAAAAGUCGACUGCAAGCAAAUGCUCCCUUUCAGCCUCCUUAAAUGCAGAAUAUAAUAAAUUAUUGAAGGAAAAUAGAGAGUACAUUAAAACUGUUGGAGAAACGCUGCUUCUCACAGCUACGCAAAACAUUGCACAGAAAGCACAUGAAGAAACGGAAGAUCAGGAUAAAGGACAUUUCCUCACUAUUAUGGAACUGCUAGCCAAGCAUGAUCACACAGUCUAAAGAAAAUGACAAGUCAAAGAAAUGCAACAUACCUUGGGCAUAGUACACAAAACAAAAUAAUUGAUUGCCUGGCUGAAAUAGUCCACACCGUAAUCAUUUGUGAAGUUGCACAAAGUGAGGCUUUCAGCAUUAUGGUCGACGAAACCAAAGACAUUAGCAAGAAAGAACAGAUGUCCUUUGUAAUUCGAUACGAAAUUGUACAAAUACUGCAGAAGCCUUGACUACAGAAACCACCUAGUAGGGCAAGCAUAUGAUGGUGCAUUUGUCAUGAGUGGAAAGAACACAGGUUUGCAAGCACACAUUAAAUCAGAGGCCCAAUUAGAUUUUUAGGUUCACUGCAAUGCACAUUGCUUAAAUGUAGUAUUAGUUGACAGUGUGAAAUGCAUCCCUGAAAUGCAGCCUAUUGUUUCUUUUCUCUUUUGCAGAAACUCUAUGUCUUUGUGUCAUGGUCAUAUGUGCACCAAAGGUGGCUAGAGGUACGAAGGGAGAUGUUUCAGCGAGCAUCCUGUCGGGCUGUUUCACUGCCUGGUAAGGCAAUUGCACCAUCCGCAACAGCAGGGCCAUAAAUGUUGAUGAUUUUAAUGGAUGUGUUUGCCAAAAGACACAGCAAAAGGCGAAUAAAGCUGUAUUGAAAAGAAUGUAGCCUAAUAAAGCAGGGAUAUGAAUAGGUUGUGUGUUGGCUAUAGUAAAAUGUACAAUGAUAAUGUUUUUUUUUCCAUUUUUGAACAUAUAAUAUUUUAGUUUACAAAAAGAC
ensembl:lncRNA